CACCUAGCUCCUGGGUGGGAGACUCUUGCAGGUUGUGGCCGACCAUACCCCGGAGAAGCUAGUAAACUUGCCUCUGGCAAGUUACCCAGAGGAGCUGCCAAGCCUACCACUCACCAGGUACUCAGAGGAGCCCAUGGUGCUUGACUCCUUGGAAGACUCUGUCCAGAUGCAGGAGAUGACACAUUGGAUAAUAUUUCAAAAGGUGCCCAAGUGACUUACAAGCCUAUAUCCCAUUUUCAAAGUUACUUAGUGAUCCAGGAGACUAAAUCUCAUUGAAGGUUACUGAGACUGGCCAGGUUCCAGCUUCCCAGAGAUCAAACCAGUAGGCAAUGAGAGACCCCGGCGUCUCUUGGAUCUGCAGGAAGGCUCUACUGCUUUUGGUCCAGUCCUGAGUGUUCUUUGUUGUUGUUGUGGGUUUUAUUCUUCUCUCUGGCCGCUACUGCCGUAGGUUUAUAUAUAGCCCCAUAUAUACCUUGAUUAUCCUUACAUGGUAAUAUUUCGGUUUAAGCCUUGCAAUUGGUUUCUUACACUCAUACUAUGUCAUUCAUUCAUUAUAUAUGGAUUACAUAAUCAAUAAACAUGAAUACAAUUUUGUAAUAUA